GAUGAACGCUAGCUACAGGCUUAACACAUGCAAGUCGAGGGGCAGCAUGACGAUAGCUUGCUAUUGUUGAUGGCGACCGGCGCACGGGUGAGUAACGCGUAUCCAACCUGCCCUUGUCCACCGGAUAACCCGUCGAAAGGCGGACUAACACGGUAUGCAGUCCACAGCAGACAUCUAACGUGGACGAAAUGUGAAGGAGAAGGAUGGGGAUGCGUCUGAUUAGCUUGUUGGCGGGGUAACGGCCCACCAAGGCGACGAUCAGUAGGGGUUCUGAGAGGAAAGUCCCCCACAUUGGAACUGAGACACGGUCCAACCUCCUACGGGAGGCAGCAGUGAGGAAUAUUGGUCAAUGGGCGAGAGCCUGAACCAGCCAAGUAGCGUGCAGGAAGACGGCCCUAUGGGUUGUAAACUGCUUUUAUACGGGGAUAAAGUGAGUCACGUGUGGCUUAUUGCAGGUACCGUAUGAAUAAGGACCGGCUAAUUCCGUGCCAGCCGCCGCAGUAA
rnacentral:rRNA from 1 species